GUUGGAUUAAAAACAGUCUACUUGUGUGUUCCGAUUAUGUUAAUCAUUAGUGACUGGCAGGGCAGCCUGCACAGCUUGUGCCUUUGGGAUGUGAAAGCUCACUGCUCUGUGUGUCUGACUCUCUGCAUGCGAACGCACCGACUCGACUCCCAUAAUUCAACAGGCAACAAAGGAAGAAAGAAACAGGCCGCGAGCUACAAAAGGGUUAGCCCACCUUGGCUAGAAGAUAUCACGUUAGUGUGUUUAUCCGCCCGUCGCUUCACUUCUGAGAAAAGAAGGUGAUGGAGGUGGAACUUGACCCAGCCAACUGAGUCACCAUUUCCCCGCAGAUAAUAGAUGCUGCUGGUCCACAUUGUGCAUGACUUUUUUCAUGUGGGCUGAUGGGAGGACACCGUGGAUAGAACUGUCGUCAGGAUACCUGGAGAGCCACCCCAUGCCCCC
rnacentral:lncRNA from 1 species